UGUUGGUGAAACUAUUCUAAAGGCACAUCUUGGAGGAAUUUGUUUACACUACUUUAUCAUCAACCAUAUGUUCUUAUUUCUAAACAACCAGUAGCAAUGUGUCCCUUGCAUUUUUAGUUUUUAAACAAGAGGUCACAUAAAUUUCUGUAAAAUGUCUGAAAAACCAAGAAAACCACAAAAACCUAACUUGAAACUAUCACCUUCGGUUAAAGUUAUGGUGUUUAGAAAGAAAUCUUCAAACUUGUCUUGCAGAUCUAGAAGACCACCUUCAGCGGCAGUUGAAAACAUAAAUACAGCGGAGCAAUUGGUACACAACAAGAAAGAAACCAUCCCUCUGCAAGAAACUAGUGACAGCCGUAGAAAAGAUCCGGUACCAUCCUUGUCUACAAAAACUACAAAAAGUGAGGUAAAGGCAGACAAAAGUAAGACAUAAAAGGUCCUUCCUGGGCUCAACACAAGAACCAAAAGAACAUUUAAGAAAUUUCUAACUAUAUUCGACUCCAAGAAAUGAGCAGAUUUUAAAAUGUGCAUAAAAUAAUUAGUUUACAAUGCGUUAGAAACAAGGAAACCAAAAUAAAUUUAUUUGUUUCAUAACAAAACCAUUUUUUCCAUGUACGCUACCUGUGUAGUCCACAGAUAUUUGUAAAAUUAAAACAAGUACGGUAGAAUAAA